rnacentral:rRNA from 1 species
UACGGAGGAUCCGAGCGUUAUCCGGAUUUAUUGGGUUUAAAGGGUGCGCAGGCGGGAUGUUCAGUCGGCGGUGAAAUUUUGCAGCUCAACUGUAAAAGUGCCUUCGAUACUGGCUUUCUUGAGUGUGGAUGAAGUAGGCGGAAUUUGUGGUGUAGCGGUGAAAUGCUUAGAUAUCACGAGGAACUACGAUUGCGCAGGCAGCUUACUAAACCAUAACUGACGCUAAGGCACGAAGGCGUGGGGAUCAAACAGG